rnacentral:ncRNA from 1 species
UUUCUGCCCAGUGCUCUGAAUGUCGAAGUGAAGAAAUUCAACCAAGCACGGGUAAACGGCGGGAGUAACUACGACUCUCUUAAUGUAGCCAAACGCCUCGUCAUCUAAUCAGUGACGCGCAAGAGUGGAU